UCUUCCUCUCACUUUUGUUCUCUCUCUCAUCUUCUCUUUUCCCUGAAACCAUAGAAUAAAAAAAAAAACAAACCCUAAACUCCUCUCUCUAUUCUGAUUCAGAUCUAGAAACAUGGAAGAAGGAUAUCAUUCCUCUCGCCGUCGCCACCAUCGUGUAUUCUGUCAUCGUCUCAUCGUGCCACCACCAAUGGUUUUGCCGCCGUCAUCUCUUCUCGCCACCACCACUGUUUUUGGCGCCGUCAUCUCUUCUCGCCACCACCACUGUUUUUGGCACCGUCAUCUAUUCUCUUCGAAUGUGUAUCUUCUUGCCGACAAAAGAUUUUCUCUUCAGUGUUUUGAAAUGUAUCAGAUUUUCUUUUCAUUCUAAAUCGAAAGAAUGACAUGCCACCAAAAGAAUUUGAUGUUUUCAUUUUCCAUGGUGCAUCAGGUUUAAAGAUGACAUGCCACCAAAAGAGAAAGAUCAAUGAAAGACAAAUCGUUCAUACGUUAUGGAAGGCCACACCGAAAUCAACUCAAACACCGAUGACAAAUAUGCGUUCGAGUGGAUUCCCGUGAUGGUGGAACUGGUUGGAAAGACAACUACCUGCAACAUCAAAUCCAUAAGAAAAACAAGUCCUAAAGAAUUUCCAAAUCACGCUGCCGAGACCAUAUUCAGAACAAAAGACAAGUCCAAGACCUGGCUCAAGCACUCAAAGGCAACAACAUCAUCCUUUAGUAGCAUCAUAUAGAUUCUGGUUGUGCUAGCUUUCGGCAGUCCGUUUUAGAUUGCCAUUUAGUAGCAGUUUGAUUUCUGGCCAUGUCAAGAAUUAUAUGAUUCGAAUCAUGUAGCGGUGCCAUUAGAUGAUCAUGUACAUAGUGAACCUUCCCUUGAUGGUAUUGAAGAGUUGGUCCAUGAAUUUAACAAAGAUAACAUGAUAGUUCUUUCUAUCU